AGUCAACGCUGGCGGCGUGCCUCAGACAUGCAAGUCGAACGCGAAAGUUCCCUUCGGGGAGCAAGUAGAGUGGCGCACGGGUGAGUAACACGUAGGUAAUUUGCCUUCGGGUGGGGAAUAACAGUCGGAAACGACUGCUAAUACCGCACAAUGCAGCGGCUCGACAUCGAGACAGUUGUUAAAGCGGGGGAGUCCUUCGGGACCUCGCGCCUGAAGAGAAGCCUGCGGCAGAUUAGCUAGUUGGUGAGGUAAUGGCCCACCAAGGCUACGAUCUGUAACCGGCCUGAGAGGGCGGUCGGUCACACUGACACUGACAUACGGGUCAGACUCCUACGGGAGGCAGCAGUC
rnacentral:rRNA from 1 species